GAUGAACGCUGGCGGCGUGCCUAAUACAUGCAAGUAGAACGCUGAAGGAGGAGCUUGCUCUUCUGGAUGAGUUGCGAACGGGUGAGUAACGCGUAGGUAACCUGCCUGGUAGCGGGGGAUAACUAUUGGAAACGAUAGCUAAUACCGCAUGACAACAGUUAUUGCAUGAUAACUGUUUAAAAGGGACAGCUGUUCCACUACCAGUUGGAGCUGCGUUGUAUUAGUUAGUUGGUGAGGUAACGGCUCACCAAGGCGACGAUACAUAGUCGACCUGGGAGGGGGGUCGGCCACACUGGGAAUGAGACACGGCCCAGACUCCCACGGGAGGCAGCAGUAGGGGAUCUUCGGCAAUAGGCGGAAGUCUGACCGAGACAGGCCGCGUGAGUGAAGAAGGUUCUCGGAUCGUAAAGCUCUGUUGUACGGGAAGAACGAGUGUUAGAGUGGAAAGUUCACGCUGUGACGGUAUCUUAUCAGAAAGGGACGGCUAACUACGUG
rnacentral:rRNA from 1 species